UACAGAGGCCCCAAGCGUUACUGAGAAUCACUGGGUUUAAAGGGUGCGUAGGUGGCGCGUUAAGUCUGCUGUGAAAGUCCAGGGCUCAACCCUGGAAAGCCGGUGGAUACUGUCGGACUAGAGUGCGGAAGAGGCGAGUGGAAUUCCCGGUGUAGCGGUGAAAUGCGCAGAUAUCAGGAAGAACACCAAUGGCGAAAGCAGCUCUCUGGGACGGUACUGACGCUGAGACGCGAAAGCGUGGGGAGCGAACAGG
rnacentral:rRNA from 1 species